UAGCUGUAUCAGAUAUCAAGGA
rnacentral:miRNA from 1 species